GAUGAACGCUGGCGGCGUGCCUAAUACAUGCAAGUCGAGCGAACGGACGAGAAGCUUGCUUCUCUGAUGUUAGCGGCGGACGGGUGAGUAACACGUGGAUAACCUACCUAUAAGACUGGGAUAACUUCGGGAAACCGGAGCUAAUACCGGAUAAUAUUUUGAACCGCAUGGUUCAAAAGUGAAAGACGGUCUUGCUGUCACUUAUAGAUGGAUCCGCGCUGCAUUAGCUAGUUGGUAAGGUAACGGCUUACCAAGGCAACGAUGCAUAGCCGACCUGAGAGGGUGAUCGGCCACACUGGAACUGAGACACGGUCCAGACUCCUACGGGAGGCAGCAGUAGGGAAUCUUCCGCAAUGGGCGAAAGACUGACGGAGCAACGCCGCGUGAGUGAUGAAGGUCUUCGGAUCGUAAAACUCUGUUAUUAGGGAAGAACGUAUGUGUAAGUAACUGUGCACAUCUUGACGGUACCUAAUCAGAAAGCCACGGCUAACUACGUG
rnacentral:rRNA from 1 species